rnacentral:rRNA from 1 species
UAGGGAAUAUUGCGCAAUGGACGAAAGUCUGACGCAGCAACGCCGCGUGUGCGAUGAAGGCCUUCGGGUUGUAAAGCACUUUUCUGAGGGAAGAGAAAGGACGGUACCUCAGGAAUAAGUCUCGGCUAACUACGUGCCAGCAGCCGCGGUAAUACGUAGGAGGCGAGCGUUAUCCGGAUUUAUUGGGCGUAAAGGGCGUGCAGGUGGUUUGGAAAGUUGGGUAUGAAAUCUCCUGGCUUAACUAGGAGAGGCUGCUCAAAACUUCCAGGCUAGAGGACGGUAGAGGGAGGUGGAAUUCCCGGUGUAGUAGUGAAAUGCGUAGAUAUCGGGAGGAACACCAGUGGCGAAGGCGGCCUCCUGGGCCGUUCCUGACACUGAGACGCGAAAGCAUGGGUAGCAAACGGGAUUAGAAACCCCGGUAGUCCAUGCUGUAAACGAUGUGAACUUGAUGUUGGCAGCGUAAUAGCUGUCAGUGUCGUAGUUAACGCGAUAAGUUCACCGCCUGGGGACUACGACCGCAAGGUUA